GCUUUACAAUUUCUUCCAUGAAAACAUCCUUUCAUCUCUAGUAUCUCUACUGUCACCUCAACUGUGAAAUCUCCUCUCUGUUGCCGGCGACAAAAUGAGGGUAGUGACACCCAAAUCCCCAUCACCGACACUACCCGCCGAUCAAAACCGCCUUACCUCUACCCCCGUCGCAGUAUCCGCCGGCGGCGUAAGAAACCAAGAUGCUGAAUUACUCUUCCGUACAAAGCCAAUUGCUGAAAUUCGAAAUGUGGAAGCGGCCACCAGGAAACAGAUCCAGG
rnacentral:misc_RNA from 1 species